rnacentral:rRNA from 1 species
CCUAGCCCUUCAGAGGGGGACAACAGUUGGAAACGACUGCUAAUACCGCAUACGAUCUGACCUCGGCAUCGAGGAUAGAUGAAAGGUGGCCUCUAUUUAUAAGCUAUCACUGAAGGAGGGGAUUGCGUCUGAUUAGCUAGUUGGAGGGGUAACGGCCCACCAAGGCGGUGAUCAGUAGCCGGUCUGAGAGGAUGAACGGCCACAUUGGGACUGAGACACGGCCCAG